AUUAGGAAAACAAAUCACGAGAUUAAUCAGAAAAAAUGCAUUAACUCAAAAUAGUAAUGGAUAUAAGAAAUCUUCACAACCCUAUAGUGAAUCACACACUUGCAAAUGUAGAAACUUUUGGCCGACUCCCUCGUGAACCACUCCGUACCAAUAUUCUCCGCUAGAUCACUUCGAGCAAUCCAGAAUCACUCAAAGUCUUCAGCUCUUACCUUCGAAACACAUCAAAAGACUUUAAUCUCCAUCUCUUACCUCCGGACUCACUCCAAAGGACUUAAAUCUUCAUAAAUUGAAUUAAAUCUUCAUAAAUUGAAUUGAUUAAUUACACCCUUCAGAAAGAUUAAAUUAAUUACUAGGAUCAUAUAACAUUCACUAUAACUCUCAUGUAUAAUGAUAUAUGCAGAACUAAGGCCAAAUUUAGGCGUCUCUAUUUAUAUGAAGCUAAAAAAAUGCACUAACUCUUG
rnacentral:lncRNA from 1 species